rnacentral:rRNA from 1 species
GACGAACGCCGGCGGCGUGCUUAACACAUGCAAGUCGAACGGAAAGGCCCUGCUUUUGUGGGGUGCUCGAGUGGCGAGCGGGUGAGUAACACGUGAGUAACCUGCCCUUGACUUUGGGAUAACUUCAGGAAACUGGGGCUAAUACCGGAUAGGAGCUCCUGCUGCAUGGUGGGGGUUGGAAAGUUUCGGCGGUUGGGGAUGGACUCGCGGCUUAUCAGCUUGUUGGUGGGGUAGUGGCUUACCAAGGCUUUGACGGGUAGCCGGCCUGAGAGGGUGACCGGCCACAUUGGGACUGAGAUACGGCCCACACUCCUACGGGAGGCAGCAGUGGGGAAUAUUGCACAAUGGGCGGAAGCCUGAUGCACCAACGCCCCGUGCGGGAUGACGGCCUUCGGGUUGUAAACCGCUUUCGCCUGUGACGAAGCGUGAGUGACGGUAAUGGGUAAAGAAGCACCGGCUAACUACGUGCCACCAGCCGCGGUGAUACGUAGGGUGCGAGCGUUGUCCGGAUUUAUUGGGCGUAAAGGGCUCGUAGGUGGUUGAUCGCGUCGGAAGUGUAAUCUUGGGGCUUAACCCUGAGCGUGCUUUCGAUACGGGUAGACUUGAGGAAGGUAGGGGAGAAUGGAAUUCCUGGUGGAGCGGUGGAAUGCGCAGAUAUCAGGAGGGACACCAGUGGCGAAGGCGGUUCUCUGGGCCUUUCCUGACGCUGAGGAGCGAAAGCGUGGGGAGCGAACAGGCUUAGAUACCCUGGUAGUCCACGCUGUAAACGGUGGGUACUAGGUGUGGGGUCCAUUCCACGGGUUCCGUGCCGUAGCUAACGCUUUAAGUACCCCGCCUGGGGAGUACGGCCGCAAGGCUAAAACUCAAAGGAAUUGACGGGGCCCCGCACAAGCGGCGGAGCAUGCGGAUUAAUUCGAUGCAACGCGUAGAACCUUACCUGGGUUUGACAUGGAUCGGGAGUGCUCAGAGAUGGGUGUGCCUCUUUUGGGGUCGGUUCACAGGUGGUGCAUGCCUGUCGUCAGCUCGUGUCGUGAGAUGUUGGGUUAAGUCCCGCAACGAGCGCAACCCUUGUUCACUGUUGCCAGCACGUUAUGGUGGGGACUCAGUGGAGACCGCCGGGGUCAACUCGGAGGAAGGUGGGGAUGACGUCAAGUCCUCAUGCCCCUUAUGUCCAGGGCUUCACGCAUGCUACAAUGGCUGGUACAGAGAGUGGCGAGCCUGUGAGGGUGAGCGAAUCUCGGAAAGCCGGUCUCAGUUCGGAUUGGGGUCUGCAACUCGACCUCAUGAAGUCGGAGUCGCUAGUAAUCGCAGAUCAGCAACGCUGCGGUGAAUGCGUUCCCGGG